GCGGGGCGGGGCCGGGCCGCCGGAGCGGUUCCGGGCCGCCGGGCGGCCAUGGCGGAUGAGGAGGAGGACGUGCCGUUCGAAGAGGACGCGGAGGACGCCGGCGGGGGCCUGGACGGCGGGCAGGGCAGGAGGAAGCGGCUGUUCUCCAAAGAGCAUUUGUCCUGCCUGACAGAUGGGAGUGCUGUCCUGGUGCAGGAGUGUGCAGGCUGGUGAGCUCUAACUAGAUGCAUGCAGCACUGAAUGGAUGAAAGCCUCACGCUGAGUGUUUCUUUGUGCAGUAAGGUGCAUGAUGUAUGGAUUUGGGGACGACCAGAACCCUUACACAGAAUCAGUGGACAUUCUUGAGGACCUGGUAAUAGAGUUCAUCACUGAAAUGACACACAAGGCCAUGUCCAUCGGGCGCCAGGGUCGGGUACAGGUUGAGGACAUCGUCUUUCUAAUACGCAAGGACCCCCGGAAGUUUGCCAGAGUUAAGGACCUCCUAACUAUGAAUGAAGAACUGAAACGAGCCAGAAAGGCUUUUGAUGAAGCAAACUAUGGGUCUUGAUUCUGUGCACAAGCUGCACUGGGGCAUUAUUUGGGCACCUGCUGCCAAGUAAGAAUGAAGAUCGUGCGUGCUGUUUGGAAGGGUUUUUUAGGAUGGAGGUCAUUGCUGGGAUGUCUGCCCUCACUCCCAGCCUUUUAUGAGAAAUACUCAAGCAGCUGAAAUGUUACAUGAUUGUAUGUGGUAUACUUAGGUAUUUUUAUACCAUUUGAUGAAAUGAGAAAAAGCUCUAAAAGUUCCUGCAGUGGCAGGAGUCUGUUUCAGGUAGGCCUGUGUUGGAUCAGAUGGCUCAAGGGUUGAUGGUUCAUGAUUUUCUAAAAUUGUUUCAGUUGUCACUGGGUAUUCCAGUGAUAGGAAACCCUGAAAAUGUAUCUUGGUUAUCUGUAUAAAGACCUUAAACUCAAACUACUAUCAAAGUUGUGCUCUUUGCUCUGUACAUGCUUUUUGAAUAAAACAUACGUUUGUGCCCAUGUUUCAUAA